AGUUCUCAAGAAACUCCCUGGACCUGUCAUUGCAGCUGUCUAUUCCCAGAAAAGGAAAGAACGCGUGAAAAUAGAAAGGUGAGCAGGAGGACAGGGAGCCAUUUCUGCUGGAGGCUGCAUUUUCUCCUGCCUUGUUUGAACAGAAAAGGAGGGUCCUGCCAUCUCUUCUCCCCCCACCCCACUUCAGAAUUUAGCAGCUGAAGCAUAAUUGAAUGGCUAUCAAUAUUCUUGUUAUUUCCAGGUGCAUGCUAUAGUGACCUCUCAUUACAAACCCUUCUGGUCUUCUGGUCCUUAGUUAUCUAUUGAUACCCAACUCGGGGGGAAAACCAGAAUGGAUCAACCCAGGUGCAGUGGUUGCUUCUUCUUGUCAUAAAUACCGUUGGGCAAAUUUACACAUGCUAUUCAAUCCAGGUAGAUUAAAAAAAAUGUCUGCCUGGACUGACAACCAAACCAGCCCUGCUGUCAGCACCCCUGGACAACUAUUGGACCCUCGGAGUCUUGACAGGGCUCACCAGUGCUGAUUCCUAUCCUGACACACACCUCCCAAGUCUGGGAGUAGCCAUCUUAGUUUCCCACAAUGCCACAGACCCGCUAAUACUAUGCCAGCAGUGGUAUUGUGGGAAAUGUAAAUGAUCACCUGUGCUGCUGCCAGGUAAUCCCAUAACCAUGUCAAACCUGGAGCCAUUUUUGAACAAUGCCCAUUAAGUAGUUGUGUGACCUGGUCCUCAAGUUUAGGGUCAUUUCAUAUUUACAUAUUUACGUAUUUGUAAAAUAUUGGCACAUGUGCACAUGAAGGUUAUUUGUUGUUAUGCCUAGGGAUUUUUUUCAGCCAGAACUCACAGGAACUCAGUUCCAGCACCUGUUAGGUGGGUUCCACUGCCAUUAGAAGAGAACAAGCAACUUCUUUUUCUAGAAAAAUUGCACUAGUUAUAGCACCUUCAGCUUCCCAAUAACUCACUGAAUGACUUGUUUAAAGCUACUCAGUCUCAUGCUCAACACUGCCAUCUGCAAGAACAGCCUUCCCCACCCUGGUGCCCUCCAGAUGUUUGGGACUACAGUUCCCAUCAGUCCCAGCCAGCAUGUUUUUGUCAAAACAUCCAGGUUAUGGAAGGCUGUGCUCAACACUAGCAGAGGAGAGAGUUAGAGCUGCCAGUAGUCUGCACAUUUCAUUACUGUCAAACGUUACACAUUAGAAGCAAGAGCCAAUUUAGGACUGCUGAAGUGUAGGCUUGUAAUUCUGUAAUCCUUCCUACCUAGGGCUGAGAAAGUCAGUUACUUUGAAAGAAUGACCUUUUUGGCUAGCCAUCAUUAGGAAGCACAAUAGGCUAUUGUUUAUCAAAUAAGGAAAACCAGAAAUUUCCUGGAUUCUGGUUUACAGGAAGCACAGAAACAGCAUGAAUGGAGGCAAGGAAAUUAAAACUGGAGGGACAGAUCAACAGGAAAAGUGAUGUUCCUCUGGAAACACAUCUAUGAUACUCUGUGCUGAUACUUGCAUGAGAAAUUCUAUGUGGAAUAUAUUAUUAUUUAUUAGCUAAAUAAAUUUAUAUAUUGCUUACCUACAGUUGCCUCUAAUGAUUGUAAAGAAUGUGCUUCUUUUAGAGAGAGUGUGUGUGUAAUUUUCAGUGUCCCACAGCUGUCUGUAUGACUGUUCUGAGCAUGGGGGGUCUGUGUUGCAUACUUAUGAUUGCAUUCCUCCUUCCUCCAUCUCCUUGUGCCUUGUUUGGUUUAUAAGCCUCUUGGGGUAAAGAACUGCCAUGCCUCUUCCUUGGAAAGCAUCAUGUACAUAGAGAGAUGCUGCUACAUGGAAUAAUAUAAUUCUAGAGUUGGAAGGGACCCUGAGGGUCAUCAAGUUCAAUCCCCUGCAAUUGCAGGAAUCCUGCCCACAGCCUUCUCUGUGUGGGCUCACACUACCAACGUUCUGGUUAACAGCCAGCCACAGCUGAGCCAGAGUAUAACAGCAGAUGCAUAUUUCAACAAAUAAAUGAUGAAAACGUUCUGAUGAAAUAGCAUCGUGAUCAGGCUCUUAUCCCCCACAUCAUGAUUUAUAUAGACAAUUUAGGACAGUCUGCACUGGUGCUUCACUUUUUGCUUUGGCGCUCUCUUAUCCUUCCCACUCACUGGAACCAGUCUCACGGUAGCCCAACAGAGGGCCAGUGUUGUGUCAUUUGUUGUCUGAGGUUAUGAAACACUUUCAGGUGACAACUUGUUGGGAUAGAUCACUCUGGAUUUUUGCAGUGAAUAAUCAGAGAAGACUCAAACCAUUUUUAUGCUAAACAAAACAACCCACAUGGCACUCUGCCCCAUGGAGGUAAAAGACACAAUAAACCAAAUAGCUUACACCUUUUUACCCUGGCUUUUGACAUGUGAGGUGUAUGUUUUUAGGACCCACCUUAUUUUUAUGAUUGUAGUUUGUUUGAAAAUAUUUUCCCCAUUGGGUUUUAAUGCUGUAACCCGCCCUAGGAUCUUUGGGUAGAGUGGGUAAGAAAUACUGCAAGGCGACAAUGUCUUUAUUACGUAGGUAGAUAGCAUUCUUUGAACUAUGUUUUUAUAGACCUAAAUAAGGUAAGGUAAAAGGUAAAGGACCCCUGGAUGGUGAAGUCCAGUCGAAGGCGACUCUGGGGUUGCGGCGCUCAUCUCGCUUUCAGGCCGAGGGAGCUGGCCUUUGUCCACAAACAGUUUUCUGGGCCAUGUGGCCAGCAUGACACUAAACCACUUCUGGCGCAUGGAGGACCGUGACGAGUGCCAGAGCGCAUGGAAAACGCCUAAAUACCAUACUGUUGACGAGAUAGUCAUAGUUGGUGAUCACUGCAAUUGUCCCCACUUCAUACAGUACUUUUAUACUAUGCUUUUUACUGGACUAGUUAAUGUUAGAAUUAAUAUCACUUUACUUGUUCUGAGGGAUUAACAUGGCUACUGAGAUUGUCCUGGUUUUGUGGAUUAGAUACUCUUGAGCAGUGAGAGGAAGCUACUCACAGAGUGCAACUGGCAAAAACUGACAGGAUGUUUCAUUGAAACUAUUUCAUUGUGUACUGGAACAAAGGGGAAGAAUAGGGGUUUUCUGGUUCACUUUUUAAAGUUACAGUUCCCUGCAAAGAUUUUCAUAUUAAUUUGAAAAAGCAGAAGUACCUAGGACAAGACCUGCCAAGAAAAAUAAAGAACUUAUUUAUGUAUGCUACAACAGCAGCAAGAGUCUUGCUAGCACAAGGAUGGAAGAAUGAGGAAAUCCCAACGAAAGAACAAUAGCAAGAAAAAUUGAUGAACUAUGCGGAAUUGGCUAAAUUGACAUACAAACUGCGUGUUAAGGACAACUGUGACUUCAAGGAAGAAUGGGAACUUUUUACAAAUUAUCUAAAAAGACAACAAAAUGAUCUGGACGUCUUGGCAGGUUUUGAAUAAACAGCCACAAAUUUAUUAGUUGAGCAUAUUAUAGACAAGGCAAGGAUAUGUACAAUUUUAUAACAUGCAGAGAACAAUAUGUGUAAAGAAACCAGAGAGGGGAGCUGAGGGAAGUCCUGGGUGGGGGUGGGGGGAAGGUGAAAAAUAAUGUAACUGGACUGAUAAUUUGGACUGAUAAUUUGUUAUGUUGAAAUUGUUUAAUAAAAAA
rnacentral:lncRNA from 1 species